rnacentral:lncRNA from 10 species
CAGGAGCCUGCUAUUUGUAGAGAGAAGUGUGUUCCAGCUGCUGGUGCUAACAAAGAUCUGAGAUUGGGAGGGGUUGCCUCUCCCUGUGUCCACACAUAUGCCUUGAGUUGCUCUUCAGUGAAUAUCACUUUUCCUUUCAUGUUUUUUCUACAUGCUAUUAUCUGUAUGAAAUGAAGACCAAGAAAGGAUGGGAAGAAGGAGAAGAAAAAUUUUGAUUUAUCUCAGAAACUAUACUCCGAAGUGAGAGUCCUGGUUGCAGGUGCAACUGAAGGACUAUGGCUAUGGUAGCUGCCCAGGAAGACUGGCCAUCCGAUUCAUGCUUGUGCAGUCCUUGGACUUUUAGAUCUACCAGUUAUCUUCUUUUAAAAAAUUCCCCAGGAAAUUCAGCAGAGAUUGAGCAUCCCUGACCCACAGUGAUGGCUUCUCGUACUAUUGUUUAAUGGAAGGAGAUCCUUUUAGCAGAAAUCACUCAUGAUUUAGCAGUCUAGGAGCCAUCAUGAGGAAAGAGUUGGAGUGGAUGGUUUUAAUGCAGAUGGUCUCAAUAUGAUGAUACAUAUUACAGUUGUUGUCAGAAAAAGGAUCAUCACAUUUUGGAGUUCUCAGUCCUGUGUACAAAGUCCAACUAUCUGAGGCCACCAUGCACUUAGGAUGUCCAGGCCACCUGGAGAGGCUACCAGAUAUGUGUAUGAAGAAGUUGUCUUGAAAGUGGAUCUUCCAGCCCAUGUUAUUCUAGCUACAGCUGUUUGAGUCUCCUUGUACAAGCCCCAGACAUCAUGGAAUGGAGAAGAGCUGAGCCACGGUGUCCUCUCCAAAUUCUCAAUCCACAAAACUCAUGAAAAUAAUAAAAUGAUUGUGUCUUUGUGCUACUAGCAUCCUUCACCGAAGCACGAAGCAGAAUCAAGCUGUUGCCAUGAAGCUUGUUUCAAGAGCUCAGAAAUACUCCAGGGACUCCUUUACUACUGCUUUUCAAAGAGGCCUUUUUUUCUCUCUUCUCCUUUUCCUGCAAAGAGGGUUAUAUCCAGUGCUCAAGGACAUGGGAUUAUCAGCCUAAGGCAUGAGUACAUGCUGUGGAAACAGAAAUAUGUAUGAAGGGAUGUAUGAAACCACAGAAUAAAUGGAAUCCACAUUCUUGAAGUAGCUACAACUCUACUUGAGGGUAAGUAAUUAAGUAUUUUAAAAUGCAAAAAAGUAUAUAUUAUGAGGUAGAAACUAAAUCUUUAUUUUUAGGAUAAAACAUUUGAAUUCAAAGGGACUUUCAGCAUGUCGGGAAGCAAGUCUGACACAGGAAUAAUGUCCUCUGAAGCAAAGGCUUUUUCAGUGGCAAAGCUUAAGAAUGCUGAUCUGCAUGAUGGGAAAAUUUAGUGUUGGCACAAGAAAUUAACUAAUAUGUUUUUCUGUUGUCUGAAAAGGAAAAUAAUGCUUGGCUUCAGGUAUUUGGAAAUACUGCACAUUCGGGCUAAGAAUGAGAUGACCAUUUUCUCAUUUUCAACUAAUUAUUUCAAGAUACCAAAACAAAACAAACAAAUGCCAUUGGUGAGUACCUGCUAUAUACAAAAUGAGCUGUAUGUAGUGAAGUGGCCAGGAAAGGCAGAGUUCACAGCCAUAGGUAGGGCAGGCCCUGGCCACCCUUUAGGGGAGCAAGAAAGGUAAACCAGGUGGAUGAAACAUAUCCUAUAGCAUAUUGUAAUUGGUAAGUGGAUGCAAGUGGUUUCUUAGCAAGUCAGAGGCAUCGGGCUGUCUAAAAGAGGUAAGAAGAUUAUACUGACAGAGAGGUGGAGCAAACAAUGAGGUGUCUGGGAGGAAGCAUUUGAAGAGCUGCAAGGAGGUCUGAUUUAUGGUAGAAAAACUGAGUCCCCAGGAACUGGGGAAGUGACUGGCAAGAAGAGGACAGGGCUUCUAGUCUAGAGGAAUCAAGGCAUAGGACAUAUUGCUUACCUAGAGAUUCAGUCAGGGGUAUGGGAUCCAGCCUGGGUAUAGUUUUUGGAAGGCUGCUUACUUGAUUGGGUUGGAGUGGGACUAACAGCAAGUGUGAUUUGAUGCUGACCCUUCAGUACUGGCCUGCGUAGCUUACAACAGUUACCCUGUCUAAGAAGGAGAUUGAUUCCAGAACCCAGAAUAAAGCAGAGAAUGCAGAUGGUGGUCACAUGGGUUCAGGUAAGGAGUAAGGAAAGUCACUGGCCCUUCUCCAAGUGCUGUGCAGGUGCAAAAGUUAUUUAAUUUUCUGUUUCUCUCUUGAAUGAAUAUGCUACCUAUUUGGUGGUAUAACACGUAAACUCAUUCAUAUUAAAUGUCAAUACAUGCUUUAAUGUUUUAAUCAAUAAAUGUACUAAAUAAUUUAAAUUUACAAGGGAUUUUGGAAACAGAUCCAACUUUAAGCAUGGCAGGAAAUUGAUAUUUGGACAAGGAAUGUUAGCACAUUCUUAGAUCAUACUCAGAUUUAAGGUAAGACUACUCUAUUUUUCAAACCAAUCUAGGUAUAUAAAACCAAAUCUAGUUAGAAUGAGAAUACUAAAUUAAACAUAAGUUUGUUAUUCAGAUAUUCCAUGUAGAACUGUGGGAUGAAGUGCAAUCAGCUGUGACUGGUUGGAAUAAGGACCUGCCUUAUCCCAUGGAGAGUUAGAGAAUCUGUUCCAACAAGGACAGAAGGUCCAGGUGGGAAGAGCUCUGGAAAACAAAACUCUCUGACAGCGCUCUUGAAAGCUCUGCUGGCGUCCCAAGGCACGUAGAUAGUACCUAUACAUCUCAUCAGGAACAUGGAUGGUUCUCUGCUAUCAGCUGAAGUGCUGUGACCACAAAACUGAAAAUUCCCAUUCUGUGUCCUUGCCAAUAAAGAAUGUCCAUCAGAGCACGCCCAGUAUCCUAGCUCCUUAUCCAGACUGUGCUUCUCGAUGUGACAAGGAAGACUGCAACCCUAUUUGCUUCUGAUAACCUUCCUAUGACUAAGCCUAUUCAGUGGAACGAUGAGGAUAAAGGCCUUUCUGAUGAUCCCCUUCCAUUUAAUGUCUUCUCUGGUUGAGAUUCCUGGGGAGGACACUCAUGACAAUUGUGGUUUUUGGAGGAUCUAUCUUUAGGCAGCUAAAAGGAAGUUCAGAGAAAGCCCCUUCCUAUACUUCGCAGGAGAAAAAAGAGCAAAGGACAAUCUAACUGGCUGAAUGAGAGGAGCGGGAAGAAGAAAGGGCCAAAAGAUGACAGAAAAGUGCCCUUUCAGAUGUUCUAAAAUGGCCAAAAUAGCAGUGACUCCUAUUUUGUAACUUGGUGAUUCUUAAUACAGCUUCCAUUUAAUGGUCUAAGAUUAGGAGACCACAAGUCCCUGGAGCAACAGGAGCAAAUGUGAGUGUCCUAGAUAAACCAGGCCAUAUGGUCACUCUAUGUGAAUUGGUUGUUCUUUUUAAAGGGAUGACAAGUAGGAUAGGGGGAAGGGAAGAGAAAGGCAUAUUCCUUUCUUAGAAAGGCAAUGCCUGCAAGUUGUCCUCAU